CCCUACAUGGUCUAGUGGUUAGGAUUCCUGGUUUUCACCUAUGCAGCCCAGGUUUGACUCCUAGUGUGGGAA
rnacentral:tRNA from 1 species